CAUCAGCCACGGUAAUACAGAGGGUGCGAGCGUUAAUCGGAUUUACUGGGCGUAAAGCGUGCGUAGGCGGCUUCUUAAGUCGGAUGUGAAAUCCCUGAGCUUAACUUAGGAAUUGCAUUCGAUACUGGGAAGCUAGAGUAUGGGAGAGGAUGGUAGAAUUCCAGGUGUAGCGGUGAAAUGCGUAGAGAUCUGGAGGAAUACCGAUGGCGAAGGCAGCCAUCUGGCCUAAUACUGACGCUGAGGUACGAAAGCAUGGGGAGCAAACAGGAUUAGAUACCCGGGUAGUCCCUGUCUCUUAUAC
rnacentral:rRNA from 1 species